AUAAAUAGGUAAUAACAAAAAAAUUUACCUCACUAAUUUCAGAAAUACAAAAAUGGAUUCACAAUCAGAAGUGCAAAAAGUAGGUAAGUGUUCUGGAUAUCUUCUGUUUGCCCCUCCAGAUUCGCUACCCACUGGUUUCUACUUUGCUGUCUGCUCUGGUAAGUAACCCAUUUGGACUACAUCAAGACGGACCCAGCUCCUACGGCUUUUAAUGUUCCUUGUGACUUGGGAAAUUCACCCAUCAUUCCUCUCACCAACCAAAGGAUGUCAAAUAAAUGACCCAAACAUUCUCUGGCUGGAGCCUUCAGUAAAUCCCUGUGGAAGAAAGUCUGGAGAUCUGCCUCUCUUAUCCGUAUUGCCAUGCCAAGGACAAGGAUAUCCUGGAAGAAAAGCUGGAAAAAACAAGGGCAUUUAUACUCUGGGAUUGUGAAAAUGAUUAGACUCCCUGAAUCCUGUAUAUAACAACUGUGUCUGUUGUUGCUAGCCUUUCAACAGAACUGUGCCAGAAUCCAUUU